GGUUAAGCGACUAAGCGUACACGGUGGAUGCCCUGGCAGUCAGAGGCGAUGAAGGACGUGCUAAUCUGCGAUAAGCGUCGGUAAGGUGAUAUGAACCGUUAUAACCGGCGAUUUCCGAAUGGGGAAACCCAGUGUGAUUCGUCACACUAUCAUUAACUGAAUCCAUAGGUUAAUGAGGCGAACCGGGGGAACUGAAACAUCUAAGUACCCCGAGGAAAAGAAAUCAACCGAGAUUCCCCCAGUAGCGGCGAGCGAACGGGGAGGAGCCCAGAGCCUGAAUCAGUGUGUGUGUUAGUGGAAGCGUCUGGAAAGGCGUGCGAUACAGGGUGACAGCCCCGUACACAAAAAUGCACAUACUGUGAGCUCGAUGAGUAGGGCGGGACACGUGGUAUCCUGUCUGAAUAUGGGGGGACCAUCCUCCAAGGCUAAAUACUCCUGACUGACCGAUAGUGAACCAGUACCGUGAGGGAAAGGCGAAAAGAACCCCGGCGAGGGGAGUGAAAAAGAACCUGAAACCGUGUACGUACAAGCAGUGGGAGCCUCUUAAUGGGGUGACUGCGUACCUUUUGUAUAAUGGGUCAGCGACUUAUAUUCUGUAGCAAGGUUAACCGAAUAGGGGAGCCGAAGGGAAACCGAGUCUUAACUGGGCGUUAAGUUGCAGGGUAUAGACCCGAAACCCGGUGAUCUAGCCAUGGGCAGGUUGAAGGUUGGGUAACACUAACUGGAGGACCGAACCGACUAAUGUUGAAAAAUUAGCGGAUGACUUGUGGCUGGGGGUGAAAGGCCAAUCAAACCGGGAGAUAGCUGGUUCUCCCCGAAAGCUAUUUAGGUAGCGCCUCGUGAAUUCAUCUCCGGGGGUAGAGCACUGUUUCGGCAAGGGGGUCAUCCCGACUUACCAACCCGAUGCAAACUGCGAAUACCGGAGAAUGUUAUCACGGGAGACACACGGCGGGUGCUAACGUCCGUCGUGAAGAGGGAAACAACCCAGACCGCCAGCUAAGGUCCCAAAGUCAUGGUUAAGUGGGAAACGAUGUGGGAAGGCCCAGACAGCCAGGAUGUUGGCUUAGAAGCAGCCAUCAUUUAAAGAAAGCGUAAUAGCUCACUGGUCGAGUCGGCCUGCGCGGAAGAUGUAACGGGGCUAAACCAUGCACCGAAGCUGCGGCAGCGACACUAUGUGUUGUUGGGUAGGGGAGCGUUCUGUAAGCCUGUGAAGGUGUACUGUGAGGUAUGCUGGAGGUAUCAGAAGUGCGAAUGCUGACAUAAGUAACGAUAAAGCGGGUGAAAAGCCCGCUCGCCGGAAGACCAAGGGUUCCUGUCCAACGUUAAUCGGGGCAGGGUGAGUCGACCCCUAAGGCGAGGCCGAAAGGCGUAGUCGAUGGGAAACAGGUUAAUAUUCCUGUACUUGGUGUUACUGCGAAGGGGGGACGGAGAAGGCUAUGUUGGCCGGGCGACGGUUGUCCCGGUUUAAGCGUGUAGGCUGGUUUUCCAGGCAAAUCCGGAAAAUCAAGGCUGAGGCGUGAUGACGAGGCACUACGGUGCUGAAGCAACAAAUGCCCUGCUUCCAGGAAAAGCCUCUAAGCAUCAGGUAACAUCAAAUCGUACCCCAAACCGACACAGGUGGUCAGGUAGAGAAUACCAAGGCGCUUGAGAGAACUCGGGUGAAGGAACUAGGCAAAAUGGUGCCGUAACUUCGGGAGAAGGCACGCUGAUAUGUAGGUGAAGUCCCUCGCGGAUGGAGCUGAAAUCAGUCGAAGAUACCAGCUGGCUGCAACUGUUUAUUAAAAACACAGCACUGUGCAAACACGAAAGUGGACGUAUACGGUGUGACGCCUGCCCGGUGCCGGAAGGUUAAUUGAUGGGGUUAGCGGUAACGCGAAGCUCUUGAUCGAAGCCCCGGUAAACGGCGGCCGUAACUAUAACGGUCCUAAGGUAGCGAAAUUCCUUGUCGGGUAAGUUCCGACCUGCACGAAUGGCGUAAUGAUGGCCAGGCUGUCUCCACCCGAGACUCAGUGAAAUUGAACUCGCUGUGAAGAUGCAGUGUACCCGCGGCAAGACGGAAAGACCCCGUGAACCUUUACUAUAGCUUGACACUGAACAUUGAGCCUUGAUGUGUAGGAUAGGUGGGAGGCUUUGAAGUGUGGACGCCAGUCUGCAUGGAGCCGGCCUUGAAAUACCACCCUUUAAUGUUUGAUGUUCUAACGUUGGCCCCUGACCGGGGUUGCGGACAGUGUCUGGUGGGUAGUUUGACUGGGGCGGUCUCCUCCUAAAGAGUAACGGAGGAGCACGAAGGUUGGCUAAUCCUGGUCGGACAUCAGGAGGUUAGUGCAAUGGCAUAAGCCAGCUUGACUGCGAGCGUGACGGCGCGAGCAGGUGCGAAAGCAGGUCAUAGUGAUCCGGUGGUUCUGAAUGGAAGGGCCAUCGCUCAACGGAUAAAAGGUACUCCGGGGAUAACAGGCUGAUACCGCCCAAGAGUUCAUAUCGACGGCGGUGUUUGGCACCUCGAUGUCGGCUCAUCACAUCCUGGGGCUGAAGUAGGUCCCAAGGGUAUGGCUGUUCGCCAUUUAAAGUGGUACGCGAGCUGGGUUUAGAACGUCGUGAGACAGUUCGGUCCCUAUCUGCCGUGGGCGCUGGAGAACUGAGGGGGGCUGCUCCUAGUACGAGAGGACCGGAGUGGACGCAUCACUGGUGUUCGGGUUGUCAUGCCAAUGGCACUGCCCGGUAGCUAAAUGCGGAAGAGAUAAGUGCUGAAAGCAUCUAAGCACGAAACUUGCCCCGAGAUGAGUUCUCCCUGACUCCUUGAGAGUCCUGAAGGAACGUUGAAGACGACGACGUUGAUAGGCCGGGUGUGUAAGCGCAGCGAUGCGUUGAGCUAACCGGUACUAAUGAACCGUGAGGCUUAACCUU
rnacentral:rRNA from 1 species